UCCAGACUCCUACGGGAGGCAGCAGUGAGGAAUAUUGGUCAAUGGGCGGGAGCCUGAACCAGCCAUGCCGCGUGAAGGCGAGUGCCCUACGGGCGUUAAACUUCUUUUGUGCGGGAGCAAUAAGGGCCACGCGUGGCCCGAUGAGAGUACCGCACGAAUAAGCAUCGGCUAACUCCGUGCCAGCAGCCGCGGUAAUACGGAGGAUGCGAGCGUUAUCCGGAUUUAUUGGGUUUAAAGGGUGCGCAGGCGGAAUGUCAAGUCAGCGGUAAAAUUUCGGGGCUCAACCCCGUCGUGCCGUUGAAACUGGCGUUCUUGAGUGAGCGAGAAGUGUGCGGAAUGCGUGGUGUAGCGGUGAAAUGCAUAGAUAUCACGCAGAACUCCGAUUGCGAAGGCAGCAUACCGGCGCUCAACUGACGCUCAUGCACGAAAGCGUGGGUAUCGAACAGGAUUAGAUACCCCCGUA
rnacentral:rRNA from 1 species